UACAGAGGUCUCAAGCGUUGUUCGGAUUCAUUGGGCGUAAAGGGUGCGUAGGUGGCGGGGUAAGUCUGGUGUGAAAGCUCCGAGCUCAACUCGGAAAAGCAUUGGAAACUAUCCCGCUGGAGGGUCGGAGGGGAGACUGGAAUUCUCGGUGUAGCAGUGAAAUGCGUAGAUAUCGAGAGGAACACCAGUGGCGAAGGCGGCUCACUGGCCCGGUACUGACGCUGAGGUGCGAAAGCGUGGGGGAGCAAACAGG
rnacentral:rRNA from 1 species